UACGAAGGGUGCAAGCGUUGCUCGGAAUUAUUGGGCGUAAAGGGUUGGUAGGUGGUCUUGUUUGUCUAAGGUGAAAUCCCAGGACUUAACCCUGGAAGUGCCUUAGAAACGGCAAGACUAGAGUUCUAGAGGGGUUUGUGGAAUUCCCGGUGUAGCGGUGAAAUGCGUAGAGAUCGGGAGGAACACCAGCGGCGAAGGCGGCAAACUGGAUAGACACUGACACUCAACAACGAAAGCGUGGGGAGCAAACAGG
rnacentral:rRNA from 1 species